rnacentral:rRNA from 1 species
UUGGGACUCUAGCGAGACUGCCGGUAUAAACCGGAGGAAGGUGGGGAUGACGUCAAAUCAUCAUGCCCCUUAUGACCUGGGCUACACACGUGCUACAAUGGUUGGUACAACGAGUUGCGAGUCGGUGACGGCGAGCUAAUCUCUUAAAGCCAAUCUCAGUUCGGAUUGUAGGCUGCAACUCGCCUACAUGAAGUCGGAAUCGCUAGUAAUCGCGGAUCAGCACGCCGCGGUGAAUACGUUCCCGGGCCUU